ensembl:lncRNA GMDS-DT GMDS divergent transcript
CUCUUCCCAUGACGUUACGUUCUGUUGGCCUAGAGGUCUUAGUUCCAGAGGGAGGAACGCUGCCACCAGGAGACACAACAGCAAUUCCGUUAAACUGGAAGUUAAGAUUGCCACCUGGACACUUUGGACUCCUGCUAUCUUUAAAUCAACAGGCUAAGAAGGGAGUUACAGUGUUGACUGAGGUGAUUGACCUGGACUAUCAAGAUGAAAUCAGUCUACUACUCCACAGCAGAGGAGCUCCCAGGCCUCUACAGUUUGCUGGGUCCCAUUACUUUCUGAGACAGGUGAGAUGGAAACAAGUCUCUUGGGAAGGCUCCCAAAAAGCCCAUUGUCAUAGAAAGCACCUGGCUUCUAAUAUCUCCAGGGAAGAGACAUCAACACCAGCCCAUCGCUGAUACCCUUUGUCCUGGCCUCCGGAGCGCUCCCUGCACAGUCCCAAGUCUGCAAGAAGGGGGAUCUUUUCUUGAAAACCUACAGUGCUAAUAAUUGUCAAAAAUAUAUAAAUUCUAAAUUUAAAAUUUAAGGUAUUGGUGCCUAUGAAAUGUCCCCAACACAAAGAAAUGAUAAAUGUUUGAGAUGAUGGAAAUGCUGAUUACCCUGAUCUGAUCACUCACUUUAUAUGUAUUGAAACAUCAUUAUGAACUCCAUGAAUAUGUAUAAUUGUUAUUAGUCAGUUAAAACAAAUAAAACUAAAAAUGUUUAACGAUAAGAAGAAAAAAA